CAAAGUCUCGCCCCAUUCCGAGUCCGGCGGACGAACUUCGCCCGCGCCCCCCACCAAGGCUAUAGCCCACCCGUUUUUUGGCCAUUUUUCCGCUGGGGGGUUUUGGCACCACGACCUUCGGGCGCUUAUUUUUGGGAGCGGCUUUGCCCGCGGCUUAUUGUUGGUGCCCCGAGGCCCCUCGCAAAGUCUCGUCCCAUUCCGAAUCCGGCGGACGAACUUCGCCCGCGCCCCCCACCAAGGCUAUAGCCCACCCGUUUUUUGGCCAUUUUUCCGCUGGGGGGUUUUGGCACCACGACCUUCGGGCGCUUGUUUUUGGACGCGGCUGUGCCCGCGACUUCCCGCGGGCACCCCGAGGCCCCUCGCAAAGUCUCGCCCCAUUCCGAGUCCGGCGGACGAACUUUGCCCGCGCCCACCACCAAGGCUAUAGCCCACCCGUUUUUUGGCCAUUUUUCCGCUGGGGGGUUUUGGCACCACGACCUUCGGGCACUUAUUUUUGGGCGCGGCUUUGCCCGCGGCUUAUUUUUGGCACCCCGAGGCCCCUCGCAAAGUCUCGCCCCAUUCCGAGUCCGGCGGACGAACUUCGCCCGCGCCCCCCUCCAAGGCUAUAGCCCACCCGUUUUUUGGCCAUUUUUCCGCUGGGGGGUUUUGGCACCACGACCUUCGGGCGCUUAUUUUUGGACGCGGCUGUGCCCGCGACUUCCCGCGUGCACCCCGAGGCCCCUCGCAAAGUCUCGCCCCAUUCCGAGUCCGGCGGACGAACUUCGCCCGCGCCCCCCACCAAGGCUAUAGCCCACCCGUUUUUUGGCCAUUUUUCCGCUGGGGGGUUUUGGCACCACGACCUUUGGGUGCUUAUUUUUGGGCGCGGCUUUGCCCGAGGCUUAUUUUUGGCACCCCGAGGCCCCUCGCAAAGUCUUGCCCCAUUCCGAGUCCAGCGGACGAACUUCGCCCGCGCCCCCCACCAAGGCUAUAGCCCACCCGUUUUUUUGCCAUUUUUCCGCUGGGGGGUUUUCGCACCACGACCUUCGGGCGCUUAUUUCUGGACGCGGCUGUGCCCGCGACUUCCCGCGGGCACCCCGAGGCCCCUCGCAAAGUCUCGCCCCAUUCCGAGUCCGGCGGACGAACUUCGCCCGCGCCCCCCACCAAGCUAUAGCCCACCCAUUUUUUGGCAUUUUUCCGCUGGGGGGUUUUGGCACACGACCUUCGGGCGCUUAUAUUUGGACGCGGCUUUGCCCGCGGCUUAUUUUUGGCACCCCGAGGCCCCUCGCAAAGUCUCGCCCCAUUCCGAGUCCGGCGGACGAACUUCGCCCGCGCCCCCCACCAAUGCUAUAGCCCACCCGUUUUUUGGCCAUUUUUCCGCUGGGGGGUUUUGGCACCACGACCUUCGGGUGCUUAUUUUUGGGCGCGGCUUUGCCCGUGGCUUAUUUUUGGUGCCCUGAGGCCCCUCGCAAAGUCUCGUCCCAUUCCGAGUCCGGCGGACGAACUUCGCCCGCGCCCCCCACCAAGGCUAUAGCCCACCCGUUUUUUGGCCAUUUUUCCGCUGGGGGGUUUUGGCACCACGACUUUCGGGCGCUUAUUUCUGGACGCGGCAGUGCCCGCGACUUCCCGCGGGCACCCCGAGGCCCCUCGCAAAGUCUCGCCCCAUUCCGAGUCCGGCGGACGAACUUCGCCCGCGCCCCCCACCAAGGCUAUAGCCCACCCGUUUUUUGGCCAUUUUUCCGCUGGGGGGUUUUGGCACCACGACCUUCGGGCGCUUAUUUCUGGACGCGGCUGUGCCCGCGACUUCCCGCGGGCACCCCGAGGCCCCUCGCAAAGUCCCGCCCCAUUCCAAGUCCGGCAAACGAACUUCGCCCGUGCCCCCCACCAAGGCUAUAGCCCACCCGUUUUUUGGCCAUUUUUCCGCUGGGGGGUUUUGGCACCACGACCUUCGGGCGCUUAUUUUUGGGCGCGGCUUUGCCCGCGGCUUAUUUUUGGCACCCCGAGGCCCCUCGCAAAGUCUCGCCCCAUUCCGAGUCCGGCGGACGAACUUCGCCCGCGCCCCCCACCAAGGCUGUAGCCCACCCGUUUUUUGGCCAUUUUUCCGCUGGGGGGUUUUGGCACCACGACCUUUGGGCGCGGCUUUGCCCGCGGCUUAUUUUUGGCACCCCGAAGCCCCUCGCAAAGUCUCGCCCCAUUCCGAGUCCGGCGGACGAACUUCGCCCGCACCCCCCACCAAUGCUAUAGCCCACCCGUUUUUUGGCCAUUUUUCCGCUGGGGGGUUUUGGCACCACGACCUUCGGGCGCUUAUUUUUGGGCGCGGCUUUGCCCGUGGCUUAUUUUUGGUGCCCUGAGGCCCCUCGCAAAGUCUCGUCCCAUUCCGAGUCCGGCGGACGAACUUCGCCCGCGCCCCCCACCAAGGCUAUAGCCCACCCGUUUUUUGGCCAUUUUUCCGCUGGGCGGUUUUGGCACCACGACCUUCGGGCGCUUAUUUCUGGACGCGGCUGUGCCCGCGACUUCCCGCGGGCACCCCGAGGCCCCUCGCAAAGUCUCGCCCCAUUCCGAGUCCGGCGGACGAACUUCGCCCGCGCCUCCCACCAAGGCUAUAGCCCACCUGUUUUUUGGCCAUUUUUCCGCUGGGGGGUUUUGGCACCACGACCUUCCGGCGCUUAUUUCUGGACGCGGCUGUGCCCGCGACUUCCUGCGGGCACCCCGAGGCCCCUCGCAAAGUCUCGCCCCAUUCCGAGUCCGGCGGACGAACUUCGCCCGUGCCCCCCACCAAGGCUAUAGCCCACCCGUUUUUUGGCCAUUUUUCCGCUGGGGGGUUUUGGCACCACGACCUUCGGGCGCUUAUUUCUGGACGCGGCUGUGCCCGCGACUUCCCGCGGGCACCCCGAGGCCCCUCGGAAAGUCUCGCCCCAUUCCACGUCCAGCGGACGAACUUCGCCCGCGCCCCCCACCAAGGCUAUAGCCCACCCGUUUUUUGGCCAUUUUUCCGCUGGGGGGUUUUGGCACCACGACCUUCGGGCGCUUUUUUCUGGACGCGGCUGUGCCUGCGACUUCCCGCGGGCACCCCGAGGCCCCUCGCAAAGUCCCGCCCCAUUCCACGUCCGGCAAACGAACUUCGCCCGUGCCCCCCACCAAGGCUAUAGCCCACCCGUUUUUUGGCCAUUUUUCCGCUGGGGGGUUUUGGCACCACGACCUUCGGGCGCUUAUUUU
rnacentral:lncRNA from 1 species